CCCCUCCUUCCUGUUUCGGACGCAACCAGCUGGAUCCACUUACCUCAUCUUCUCCUGCCUUCAUAAGCUCCUCCUGGAUCAUCAGCCGAUGCCAGUUCGUUGUUCCUCCUAUGGACUUAAACCUGUUGGAUACUUACCUGGUCGCUGUCCACCUACGCCGCAGUCCUCCCUUGGGGAAAUCCGCCUCAAGAUCCCUCCAGCCAGCCGCCGCUCCUCGCCUAGGAAAAAGCCAGUCAAGCUCUGUUCCCGAUUAAAUCUCUUUAAACUUA